GUCCAAGCCGUAAAUUAUGCUUGCUAGGUGUUUCUCGAGUAAUCGGGGAGUGCUGUACCUAACGGGUUAAGCAAGCCGCCUGGGUAGUAUACACGCAAGUGCGAAACUCAAAGGGAUAGGCGGGGGAACACACAAGCAGUGGAUUGUCUAGAUUAAUUGGAUAAUAAGCCAAGAACCUUACCUAGAUUUGACAUGCUAGAAUUAGUUUUGCAGAAAUGUGAAUGACUGCCGCAAGGCCGGAAUUAGCACAGGUGGUGCAUGGUCGUCGU
rnacentral:rRNA from 1 species